GACGAACGCUGGCGGCGUGCCUAAUACAUGCAAGUCGAGCGAAGCGGGAACGGGUGCGUAACACGUGGAUAACCUCCUAUAAGACUGGGUGAACUUCGGGAAACCGGUGCUAAACCGGAUGCUUCUGGCUGGAUACGCGCUGCAUUCGCUAGUUGUGAAGGUAACGGCUUACAAAGGCAACGACGCCUAGCCGACCCGAGAGGGGGAUCGGCAACACUGGAACGGAGACACGGUCCAGAUUCCAACGGGAGGCAGCGUUAGGGAAGCUGCGGCAAUGGGCGAAAGCCUGACGGAGCAACGACGGGUGAGUGAUGAAGGUCGUCGGAUCGUAAAACUCUGUUGUUAGAGAAGCGGUACCUAACCAGAAAGCCACGGCUAACUACGUGCCAGCAGCCGCGGUAAUAC
rnacentral:rRNA from 1 species